rnacentral:ncRNA from 1 species
CGUCUCCUCCACCCUCCUCCUUUGGUGUGGAUUUAAGCCCGGACCGUCAAACGUCCGGGCUUUUUCUU